rnacentral:rRNA from 1 species
CGGGUGCGUAACACGUGAGAAACCUGCCCUGAAGACCGGGAUAGCCCAGGGAAACCUGGAUUAAUACCGGAUACCUUCGUUGGAUCGCAUGGUCCGAUGAAGAAAUGGAUUCCGCUUCAGGAUGGUCUCGCGGCCUAUCAGCUUGUUGGUGAGGUAACGGCUCACCAAGGCUCCGACGGGUAGCUGGUCUGAGAGGACGAUCAGCCACACUGGGACUGAGACACGGCCCAG